CGCCUCUUACCCCGGGCGGGUCCAAGAGUCCCCCAACGAGGUCCAGAGCGUGUUUUCAAGUUGGGUGACGUUGUCCCACAGCAGCGCCACAGCCUCGGAAGUCAGAUGCGGCCGCCGCACGCAGCUCGCGAACUGGGGGCCGCCCGAGGCGUCCACAAUCUGGCAGCGGCGCAAGAGUGGGCAAGCUAUCAGACCUUCUUGAAGUGGAACCCUCCUGCUGCAGGCAGCCCUCAGGCCGGGGGUGUCUCACCAUUUGCAGAGGUCCGAACAGGAAGUGCAGCAGUUCUGGGGAGGAGGGGUUGGCGAUGUUGCUGCGCAGCCGGGCCUGUGGAGCCGGGGAGGUGCUGGUAUUAGUGCGCGGACAGGUCAGGUUUGUUAUUCCCCUCGCCCCCUGACGCCCCGGGAUGAACGCGUCCUCACCAGCAAGCUGAAGGCGUACUUGAUUUUCUGAAGCACAUCAAUGAACUCGGCCUCUGAGGGCGGCUUGGCCCGCAGCGUCAGGAGGCCCUCUGUGGGUAGAGAGGCAGGCGCGGUGAUGGGGCACAUGCAGACAGCGUCAGGCAGGGUCGAAGAGAGAGGCAGAGACCCAGUGAGAUCGCGAUAGGGAGUCAAACUGGCAGGGGGUGCAAGGGGAGACCCAAGGGAGAGGGUGGAUAUUUGGGAGUGGCCAGGAAGGGGGUGUUCAGGAUUGCCACUCGGUGGCGCCUCCUCACCCCCGGCCUCCCGGUGCCGGGUCCUGCGGCUGCGCUCUCGGUGCUCCAGCACUCGGGUCGCCUCGGCAGACUUCUGCAGCCUUGAUACGAAGGUCUCCACGUCGUCGAACACGUGGUUCAGGAUGUCCUGGGGGGCAGAGCAGGGGAUGCGUGGGACCCCUGAAUCUUGGACCCUCAUCACCCCUGUCCAAGCCCCUCUCAAACCAAGGGCGCUUAGGCACAUUUAGGCCGGGCCACGCCCUCUGAUGCUUGACUCUGCCCCCACUCUGUCCCCUCCGGCCACCCCCCCAGAAGUCUGACCAAGUCCCCAGAACCAAGCCCCACCCCCUGACAGAAGAUUCACACCUGCAGCCAGUCCCGCCCCGGCCCUAGCCCCGCCUCACUCACCACUUCCCGCUCCGCCUGCAGACUGGCCAGGUCUGGGCCGCAGGGGCCCAGGUCCCGAGAGGUCGGGUCAGCGCUGCUGCAGACCUCCGCCCGGCCCGGCCUCCGCAUCUCUGCAGUCUCUGGGAUGGGGUCCGCCUGGGGUCGCCCGCGGCCCGUGGCCGGCUCCACCGUGUUGAUCGCGGCGCGGACCGUCGGGCGGUGCUGCAGGGGCGGGGUCUCGGCGGCGGGCGAGGGGUGGCACUGCAGCUCCUUUCGCGUAGCCCUGCGGGGGAAGAAGGGGAAACUAAGGCUGGGCACACCGAGGGGUCCGGGGAGGGGAGAAAUUCGGGGCUUCAAUCUGAAACACUGUGGCCCAAAGGGGUCAAACCUAGGCUCUCAGUGGUAGGGAGAAAUCCGAUAUAUGGGGGAUGGGAGAGCACCUCUCCGGAGGGAAACUGAGGCAGAGGGAGGAGAAACCGAGGGGAGGGGCGUAUACUUGGUACAGGGUUUGUUUGACUCCAUUUAAAACUCGUUCUGCUCUAGGCUAGUGGUAUCCACCGAUUUCUCAGUUGGGGAAACUAAGGCCCAAAGAGGGGAGCUGGCUCCCCAGAGACCUCCCCGUCGUCUCUUCUCCCCAGCUUCCAGCCCGACCCCCUUACCUGAGCGCCGCCGCCCUGCGCUCCCCGCGGCCCGAGCGAUAGUUGUGCAGAGCCCCCUGGAUGUCCUCUCGGAUCAGCUCCGCCUGUCAAUCACGCCGUCAGGCCACGACCGCAACCCACCCACUGCCCGCCCAGGCGGCUCUCCGAAUCGAUUCCUCAGCUCGGCCCCAGACCACGUCCAGUCAUGGCUCACGCACUGCGCCCACGCACGUCCACGCCCUGAACUCACACCCUGGCUCUUAAACUGUCCCUGCCUUAGGCCCCUCCCCCAACCACGGAGGCCCCGUCCACAUGGCGCUUCGCCCCUGACCACACUCACUCCCAUCCUAGUUCUGGCUGCUCCCCCAGACCCUCACUUCCAUGUUCUGUCCACGUUCUGUCCGAGCUCUUAGCUCUUAGCCUCCGUCUCCAUUCGGCCCUCUCGUUCCUUCUCGACCCUACGUUCAAUCUGUUCUCAAAUCCCCCUCCCUCCCAGAAUUCCUUUACAGGUCACGCCCCCUCCGCUGGCCCUGACCCCGCCUUUGCCGUACACCGUGCCCCCCGUCUUAGAGGCCCCGCCCCGUUGGGGGUCCGGCUCCGGACUCCGCCCAGUUUCAGCUCCGCGCCCGGAAUCCGCAGGGUCUCAGUCUGUGGCCCCGACCCCCGCUCGCUCACCGCCAGACGCAGGCCCUGGAAGAAGUGCACGUCGGGCUGCGUGCGCUCGGGCUCCUGGCACACGAGCAGCAGCAGUGAGCAGCUCUGGCCCGGCGGUAUCACCGUGUCGCAACGCACGAUGGCGCUCAGCGGCACAGGCGCUGGUCCAGAGGAAAAGUUGGCAGAUUCAAGUGGAAUUGAGUUCCUCCACUGAGUACCCACAUCUGAGGCAAGGCAGGAGUCCACUUUGCAGAUGAGCAAACUGAGUUUCCCAAGUUCUUGCUGCUUGGAGGUCCAACUGCUUUCAACUCCCCCACCUCCUCAGGCCUGCCUUGCCUCCUGCAAGACUCCCCGUGGCAACACAGACCCCAGACUCACAUUGACUGGAUAUUGGGAAACAUCGGCCAUAACCUCGGGGCCUCUCCUUCCUGCUCACUCCCAGGGCCCUCCCUCCUCCACAUACCUGAGCACUCACCUGGUACAGCCUGCUGGCGUGGCCCCUGGGCGGGGCUGGCUGACAGACCCAGGGCGCCGGCUGGGAUGUCCUCAGGGGAGCCAGAAAGCUUAUUGUCUCCAUCACAACAGGAGAAACUACAGUAAUUCGAUGUCAAACUCCUUCACGCGUCAGAAAUACCCGCUUCGAAUUCUCCUGGUAUCUCUGCGAUUCUCCUGGUAUCUCUGCUAAGUUGACUGCCGCUUGUUCAUGGUCAAUGUGGAAGGGUGGGCUUUGAACCCGGAGCCACCUUUCCAUCUCCAGGGCUGGUGUCCAUCCCUGCUCUGUGCACACCUCCUCUCUGGCGUUCCUAUCUCCACCGGUGCCCUCGGCCCCCAGCCCUCCCCUUCCCUCCUCCUUUGGAAAUGUCCCUCAGUAAUUCCCGAUAACGAUGACAGCUAAGACUCAAUGCCCAACACUGCUCCAAGGGCAUCACAAAAAUGAACAGGCUCCCCAGGCAUGAAAAUCUCCUUUCGAGAACUUCCCCUGUGCCAUGGACCUCGCUAACUGAGUUAUACACACCGCUUCUUCCCCGAACCCAGUGGAGUGAGUGUUGGGGUGUCUCCAUUUGGCAGAUGAGGAAACUGAGGCUCACAAGGGCUCAGAGACUUGCUCAGAGUUACACAUGCAGUGAGUGGUCUCCCUGCCGUCUUCCUCCCCAGUCCGGUCUCAAUGCAUGGACCCCCAUAGAAACCUAAAUCAGCUUACGUCACUCCACUCUCAAAAGGCUUCGGUGGCUCCCCAUUUCUCUGGAUAAAAGAGAAGACCUUCUACAAGGCCUUAAGUGAUGGUACCCUACCUCAUCUCUUCCUUUGCUCCUUGAGUACCCAGAUGCCAUUCUGCCUCAGGGCCUUUGCACUUGCUGUACCCGCUGCCUGGAAAGCUCUUCUCAUAUCCGUCGAUGAGAAGAGGCUUGCUCCCUCAUCUUCUUCAGGUCUUCGCUUGAAUGGCAGCACCUCGGGAGGCCUGGCUGGCAACCUUGUUUAACAUGGCAGCACCUCUGACCCGUCCCUCCUUCAGAGUCUCUUCCCCCUCCCCCAACAUUUAGUUUCUCUCCAGAUCAUUUAUCACCCUGUAACUCACAUAUUACCUGUUUAUUUUGUCUGUUUUAUGUCCUCCCCAUUAGAAUGUAAGGCUUCAGGACAACAAAGACUAUUGUGUGUUCAGUUCCCCAAUGUACCUGCAGCAUAUAGAAUAGGGUCUUGCACGUAGUAAGUGCUGGAGUGACAUUUGUUGAAUUACUGAGUUUUUGCAUUUGGUGCACUUGUGUGCAUUUUUGCUUCACUGAACACAUGUUGACCCCACAGUCUCUACUACGAGAGGCUGGAAACCAGAGAAGGCACAUCCUUGUCCUGGAUUGAUGGGGAAGAAAGAACAGACAGAAAGAGAGAUAAUCCUAUUGUGUGGUGUGAUCAUAAAGAGCCCAGGCAUGUGGGAUCCUAGCUCCGCGAUCAGGGAUCGAACCCGCACCCACUGCAUUGGAAGGCGAAGUCUUAACCACUGGACUGCCAGGGAAGUCCCUGAAAUUAACUAUCUUAAAUUGAACUGAGUAGCAUUUAGUACACUGACAAUGUUAUGCAACCAUCAUAUCCAUCUAAUUCCCAAACAUUUUCACCCUCCCCAAAUAAAGUCCAUACCCAUUAGAAGUCACUCCCUAUUCCUUCCUCCCCACAGCCCCUGAAAACCACCAUUUGCUUUCUGUCUCUGUGGAUUUGCCUGUUCUGGACGUUGCCUAUAAAUGGAAUCAUACAAUAUGUGACCUCAUAGUGUUUUUGAAGUUCAUCUAUUUUCUUUUUAACAUCUUUAUCGGAGUAUAAUUGCUCUACAAUGGUGUGUUAGUUUCUGCUUUAUAACAAAGUGAAUCAGCCGUAUGUCUAUGUUGUAUUGGUCCAGUGUUGAAAUAAUUUCAGACUUGUAGAAAAGUUGCAAAAGCAUACAGAGAAAACCUCUGCUGGGUUUCUGUACAUUUUUUCCUUUGUAAUAAAUAAGUAUCUUGGGGAGAGCUACUUUGAGACUAUGCAAAUAUCCUCUGUGUCAUGAAACUUUUAACUCAUUAGUUUUGGCAUCUACGGAUGCUUCCUGCCUGAAUCGAGGAUGACCAAGAUGGUUCCCCAACGGCAAUUGAGUUAAGUUUCAAAAGGAUUGCCUAAUUUCUGUGUGGAGAACAGGGGGAAGCAGGGAGACCAGCUAGGAGGCUUUCAUAUUAAUCCAGUGAGAGAUGGUAGCAAUGGACAUGCUGAGACAUGGUCAGAUUUUUGGAUAUAUUUUCAAGGAAGAGCUGGCAGGCAUUGAGAGAAAAAGAGGAGAUAAGCAUGACUCCAUGUUUUGCUCUAGGCAAUGGGAAGACUGGAGUUCCUAUUUUCUGAGAUGGGAUUGCUGCUGUAACAGAAAGACCUGGACUAUUAGUGGCUUAAAUCGGGUUGAAGUUUAUUUAUUGCAGUUGAUCCAGGGCCCGUUUGGCAGCUCCAUAAUCAUCAGGGACCCAGGCUCUUUCCAUCUCAUUACUCUGGCAAAAUAAGGUUUCCACCUCAUGGUCCAAAAUGGCUGCCUCAGGUCCUGCCAUCAGAUCUGCCUUGCAGCCAGAAGAAAGGAAGAAAGAGGGCACGUGUCUUUUCAUUUUGAGUACACAUGUCCUUUUUGCUCACAUCUCGUCUAAGUCAGAACUUAGACACAUGGCCACAGCUAGGUGCAGAGGAGGCUGGGAAAUGAUUCUUUGUUCUAUGUGCUCACGUGCCCAGCUAUGAACCAGUGGCUCUAGUAUUAUGAGCAAGAAAGGAAGAAUGUAUGUUUGGGGAACAACUAGUCAACUUUCCCUAAUGGGUCCUGAAUGCUGCUCUUCCUACAUCCCUUAUGUCCCUCUCCAGUCCGUAUUCUACAUCUCACCUGGAAACAAAAUUCCUAAAACAUAGAUCUGCUCAUGACCUUCCAUGGCUCAUUACUCUUUCAUGGGCCUCCAGUAUCCUCUGAAUUAAAGCCAAGUUUCUCAGCCUGGCAUUUGAGCCAUAAUCUGGCUCCACCUUCCAACCACUCCAGCCUCAUUCCUUCCACCCCAUCCACACCUUACACUCCCACAAUAUCCGCACGUACCUGUGUGCUACCUUUUCCUUAAGCUGAUCCCACAGUCUGCAGCAUCCUUUCUGGCCUAAGGAAAUCCUUUCUGUUUGUAUCACUGUGAUCAACACCACAUCCUGCAGGAAACUUGCCCAGCCUCCUUACAGUGGGGCCCUCUGCCUCUCACAAACUCUCAGAGUCCCCGUCACCCCAUCCUAGCGGAGAGGUCAGCUAUUUGUAUGGUGCCUGCUUUACUCCAGGCAAACUCACUAAGUCUUUCCUUUCCUGUCGUCCUUCCUUCUCACCACCCUUCCCUCCUGUCCACACUCUGCCCCUCCUCCCUUUUGCCUUCCUGUCCUCCCAGUUAUGGAGCAUGAAAGCACUGCACUCAACACCUGUACUAAACAAAGAAUCAAUUUUUCCAGUUACUAAGGUCAUGCGACAAAUCAUUCCAAGACCUAGUGGCUUCAGACAACGGCCACAUUUAGUUUGCUCACGAACCUGCCAUCUGCACAGGGCUUGGUGGAGGUGACACAUCUCUGCUCUACAUGGUGACAACGGGGGUGGAUUGGAAGCUGGGGCAGUGUCUUGGAUGGAAAGGCUCAAACAGCUGGAGCAUGGACCAAUUAGGGCUCCUCCACCAUCUGACCUUUUCUCUAUGUGGUCUGUCCAGCAUGGUAGCUUCAAGGUAGAGAAACGUGUUUCUUACAUGUCAGUUAAGGGUUCUGAAAAUGCAUGGAGAGAGAGAGAGAGAGAGAGAGAGAGAAUGACUUGGGUAUGAUAAGCCCUCUGCUGGGGGAAGAGUCCUCUCAGUACCUGGAACAGCACCCAACAUUUAUCAGGAAUUUAUUAACAACUUCAACAAUGAUAAAGGGAUGCAUAGCUUACCUGGUAGCCGGAAGAGAUAUUCUAAACACCUUGGGUGCAUAUGGGAAUCACGUAGGAGGUCCUCAGAGGAAGGAAUUUGGAUGCAUUGUUCUGUUUAUAGUAACAACAGUACAGCCAUCAAUGCUCUGGCAUUUACUGUGGGUUAGAUCUUUGUCAUGAAUUACUUUCUGUCCUCCUUCCAAACUUCGUGACAGGGGCCAGCAAACUGUGUCCCUCCACUUGUUUUUGUAAAUAAAGUUUUAU